GAGGAGCUUGCUCCUCUGACGUUAGCGGCGGACGGGUGAGUAACACGUGGAUAACCUACCUAUAAGACUGGGAUAACUUCGGGAAACCGGAGCUAAUACCGGAUAAUAUAUUGAACCGCAUGGUUCAAUAGUGAAAGACGGUUUUGCUGUCACUUAUAGAUGGAUCCGCGCCGCAUUAGCUAGUUGGUAAGGUAACGGCUUACCAAGGCAACGAUGCGUAGCCAACCUGAGAGGGUGAUCGGCCACACUGGAACUGAGACACGGUCCAGACUCCUACGGGAGGCAGCAGUAGGGAAUCUUCCGCAAUGGGCGAAAGCCUGACGGAGCAACGCCGCGUGAGUGAUGAAGGUCUUCGGAUCGUAAAACUCUGUUAUUAGGGAAGAACAAAUGUGUAAGUAACUAUGCACGUCUUGACGGUACCUAAUCAGAAAGCCACGGCUAACUACGUGCCAGCAGCCGCGGUAAUACGUAGGUGGCAAGCGUUAUCCGGAAUUAUUGGGCGUAAAGCGCGCGUAGGCGGUUUUUUAAGUCUGAUGUGAAAGCCCACGGCUCAACCGUGGAGGGUCAUUGGAAACUGGAAAACUUGAGUGCAGAAGAGGAAAGUGGAAUUCCAUGUGUAGCGGUGAAAUGCGCAGAGAUAUGGAGGAACACCAGUGGCGAAGGCGACUUUCUGGUCUGUAACUGACGCUCAUGUGCGAAAGCGUGGGGAUCAAACAGGAGUAGAUACCCUGGUAGUCCACGCCGUAACGAUGAGUGCUAAGUGUUAGGGGUUUCCGCCCCUUAGUGCUGCAGCU
rnacentral:rRNA from 1 species